rnacentral:lncRNA from 1 species
UCAUGAGCCAGUCUCCACAUUCUCAAGUAUACUAUAGUGACCUCAUCAUUGCCUAUGGAUUCAAUCUUUAUGGAUCAUCUUUAUGGCACUAGUGGAAAUUAAUAUGUGAGAAAUAUAGAAUAAUGACACAAGGAAUGGUUACUGAGUUUAAGUUAAACAGAGUCUCUGAGGAUCUGAUCACUAUGUAGUUAAUAGCUCAGAUGCCCAGUCUGGUCUCUUUACUUGAACAACUAACUCUUCCAUGUAUCUGAAGAAAGACAAGAUUGAUACAAAUCUACUUCAUUGCAGAUCCCUUGUGGAUGGGUUCCAUAGAACAAUGGUCUUUGAGAUGAAGUCUUUAAAACUCCUGGAGGAUUCCCUACAAUUUUCUCUAAGCCAUCUGUGUGGGUGUGUGGAAAUGUGGAAGGAAAGAAGGAACGAAGGAAGAAAAAAAGGGAAGGGGUAUGUGAAGAAGGAAAUAAUGAAGGAGGAAGAAACAACAACAAAUAGAAAAAUAUUGCCAGAUGUCAACACCAUGAUCAUGAUGAAGACAAUGCCACUAGAAGGCCAACAUUCUUAACUGGUAAAAUCAUAACAGUUAACAUUAUAUAGCACUUCAAGGUUUACAUGAAAGAAAAAAAGAAUGUUGCAUAAAUUUUUGGAGAUUUAGUUACUCCACU